GUCAAAUCAUCAUGCCCUUUAUGACCUGGGCUACACACGUAAUACAAUGGCGCUGAAACAGAGGGGAGCGACAUGGCGACAUGGAGCGAAUCCCAAAAAAGCGUCUCAGUUCAGAUUGCAGGCUGCAACCCGCCUGCAUGAAGUCGGAAUUGCUAGUAAUCGCGGAUCAGCAUGCCGCGGUGAAUACGUUCCCGGGCCUU
rnacentral:rRNA from 1 species